AUCUCUGUAGAGUCUGCAUAUCAAUAAGCGGAGGAAAAGAAACUAACAAGGAUUCCCCUAGUAACGGCGAGUGAAGCGGGAAGAGCUCAAAUUUGAAAUCUUAAAGGGGUUUCCCUUUACGAAUUGUAGUUUAAAGGAAGGUGUUUUCUGUUGAGGUUUUGGUAAAAGUUCUUUGGAAUAGGACAUCAUAGAGGGUGAGAAUCCCGUAUUUGACCUUUACUUUCAACUUUGUGAUACACUUUCAAAGAGUCGGAUUGUUUGGGAAUGCAGUCCAAAAUGGGUGGUAAAUUUCAUCUAAAGCUAAAUAUUGGCGAGAGACCGAUAGCGAACAAGUACCGUGAGGGAAAGAUGAAAAGAACUUUGAAAAGAGAGUUAAACAGUACGUGAAAUUGUCAAAAGGGAAGCGUUUGACACCAGUGUUGUUUUUCUGAAAAUCAAUUAAAGAACUGUUUAUGCUAAGUUGUUUAGACUUUCAUCAGCUAACUGUUUAGUUUUGAGCUUUUCUUUAAUGCACUUUUCAGUUAACAAGUCAACAUCAAUUUCUUUUGCUGUAAAAAAGCUUGAGGAAGGUGGCUUGAGAUUCGUCUUAAGUGUUUAUAGCCUCUUGCCUAUGCAGUCGGAGAGAUUGAGGUCUGCAGCGUAGAUCCUUCGGGGCUAAAUGCAUUUGUGCUAAGUUAUAGCAUUUUAUAGACAACUUGUUGACUAUGAUUUGUCUUGUAGCUUACUCGCUUAUGUUAUUUUACCUACGCUUAGGAUGUUGACGAUCAGCUGAGCGCG
rnacentral:rRNA from 1 species